rnacentral:ncRNA from 2 species
GGGUGUUGGGCCGUCGCUGCGGCGCGGCAGGUUCAUGCGAUGGUCGGGCCGCCUCG